CCUUUUGAGAUUCUUCGGAUGAUCGAUUGGUGACUGAGUGGCGGACGGGUGAGUAACGCGUGGGUAACCUGCCCUGUACAGGGGGAUAACAGCUGGAAACGGCUGCUAAUACCGCAUAAGCGCACGAGGGGACAUCUCCUUGUGUGAAAAACUCCGGUGGUACAGGAUGGGCCCGCGUCUGAUUAGCUGGUUGGCAGGGUAACGGCCUACCAAGGCAACGAUCAGUAGCCGGUCUGAGAGGAUGAACGGCCACAUUGGAACUGAGACACGGUCCAAACUCCUAUGGGAGGCAGCAGUGGGGAAUAUUGCACAAUGGGGGAAACCCUGAUGCAGCAACGCCGCGUGAGUGAAGAAGUAUUUCGGUAUGUAAAGCUCUAUCAGCAGGGAAGAUAAUGACGGUACCUGACUAAGAAGCUCCGGCUAAAUACGUGCCAGCAGCCGCGGUAAUACGUAUGGAGCAAGCGUUAUCCGGAUUUACUGGGUGUAAAGGGUGCGUAGGUGGCAGUGCAAGUCAGAUGUGAAAGGCCGGGGCUCAACCCCGGAGCUGCAUUUGAAACUGCUCGGCUAGAGUACAGGAGAGGCAGGCGGAAUUCCUAGUGUAGCGGUGAAAUGCGUAGAUAUUAGGAGGAACACCAGUGGCGAAGGCGGCCUGCUGGACUGUU
rnacentral:rRNA from 1 species